AGGAUAUUAGGGUUAACAAAAGUGACGCAUCAGAUUACCAAAUUGACCCUUCCUCUUCUCUUCUCAGACGUGAAACGGCGGCAAGAAGUUCUCCGUCUCCGACGAGAUUCUGGCCUCGCUCUCUCGAUCACCUCUCCUCGCUCUCAUUCAAAUACUCAGCGCCGCCUCAUGCUUCUUUAUUCAAGAGUAUCUUUCGCUAUCAAUCUCUCAUGUCUUCCCCGUCCGAAUCGGAAUGAAGAUCGCUCCGAUUUCGUUUGUUGAAGCGUUGAGUCGAAGAAACCUGCCGCAAUCAGUGAUAUGAUGUUGACGAUGAUGUGCUGCGAGAGGUAUUACGAAGAUGAAGAAGAUCGUAGGUUGACUAUGAUGAUAUAGAUGUCGGUGCGUUGAUGUUUGCGGAUCUGGAUUUUAGAUCGAUGAAGAUUGAAGAUGAAUUUCUGGCGAUUAUGCUCUUUAUGUUGAUUGCGAAUGAAAAUUGAUGAUGAAGCUUGUGGUGAAGAUUAUUGCAGACACGAAGCGAAGUUGACGAUGAUGAUUAUCGCUCUGUUGUUGCGGCGACUUUUAGAAGAUUGAGGCGUUCUUGUUGACGGAAGAUGAAGAAGGUGAGGAUUCACGUAUCUACGAAUUCGGUGCUGCCUCCUUUGAAAUUCAGCUCAGAGUCUUUUUGAUCGAAGAUUGAUUGAAUCUGUUAGAGCUUGAUGCUGAAAAGAGAAUUUGGAAGUUGAAUCGAAGGUGAAAUUGGAAUGUGUUCGAGAUUGAAUCAGUGAAGUUGUAAGGUUGAUGAUGAGGUUUUUCUGUGAAGCUUUUUCUGAGUUUUGUGUAUGAAAUUGCAGAGAGAAUGGAGAUUGAAGAUCGAUUAUGGUGAUGAUUCUUUUUGCAGAGACGAUGAAAAUUCUGGAAAGUUUGAGGAUGAGACUCAGAGAGAAAGAUUGGGAAGUUGUGAAGAGAUUUUCGGUUUUCCCGAUUUGGAGAUUGAGAGGAGAAGGUUGAAGGAGCGUUCCAAGUUUGUUACGUUUCUGUUAGAGGUGCAGGGCUCGUGGGUAUUGGCAUGAGGUGCAGGUGGUUUUGAAUGAAUGCAGGAUUUUUGGUUCGGUUUCUGUGACGUCUUGUGUAGCCUGGAUAUGUGAACAAAUUUUUCAGGAUGAAUAGAAUCAAAAACCAUAUACCAAAAGUGUUUUUAUGUAUUUUCUCCCGACUGAAUCAUGGAUUUGGAUGUGUAAUGGAUAAUACUAUAUUUUGUAAUGGGCUUUGAACUUGGACUCUUGGGUUUUUUGUUGUAAUUUUUGUAAUGAAGUGGACUUGGACUCUUGAGAGUUUUUUGUAAUCUUGUAAAAGUUUGAAUGGGCUUUUCUUGAAUUUGAAUGGAUGAAUCUUGCAAGCAAUUUGAAUGAAUUUGAACCUUGAGACUUGCAUAUCAAAACAUGUGAAAGAACCUUCCAUUUUUAGCAAAUUUAAACAAACUCUUAGACAAAUCAUGAGCUUAAAAACUUGAAUCCAAUCA